CAAAAGAGCAGUGACCAUAACGAAUGAAGAAGUGUAAGUCGAAGCAUAAAGCAGAGAAAUCUUUUUGAUGGAUGUGAUAAUCUAAAAUAAAUCAACUUUCCUCUUCUGCAAUUCCUGCUUCCAUUUCGGCAAUUUAUAGAAGGCAUCUUUUGUCAUCCCGAAUAUAGUCUGGAAAUCCUCUCUGACAGAUAGGCCUCUCUCCGUUUAAAAUCGAUUCCAGUUACAGGAUUGUCAGAAUGAGCCUUCAGUUGAUCAUAACUGAAUGUCCUAUCACUGCUUCCAUUACUAUUCUCUUCCUGCUCAUUGUCUAGUUUUGGCUCUGAAUCCUCCCCAAUACUUUCAGAAACAGAUGCAACUUCCUCCAUUUCCUUAACUUCUGCAACUUCUUCAGAACCCUCCAUUUCCGAAAGUGAAUUAUCACUCUUCCCUGCAGCAGGAAGCUUAGUUUCUGGGGGAGGACUGCCUGAAGGGGAGGUUUCAGGCGUUUUCUUCUUUUCAGCAGUAAGAACUGUUGAUAGAGCAGCUACAGCCGCAGCUCUUUGUGAUCCCUGACUUGGUCCAGAUGUCCUUGAAGCAGUACUUUUGGAUCCAGAUGAUGUAUUAAAUGCAGAGUUCAAGGCAGCCAAAGCUGAAGCUCUUUGUGUCGGUCCUCCUUGAUUAGACCCAUUUGACCUAUCCUGGGCUGUAGAGGAUGACUUCCCAGAAGAUGGGUUAAAUGCAGAAGACAAGGCAGCUAAAGCAGAAGCCCUUUGAGUUGGUCCUCCUUGAUUUCCGUUGGACUUAUCCUCCACAGCAUGAUGUCCUACACCAAAGAGUAAUGCUGCCUUCUUUUGGAAUGAGUUUCCUGCAACCAUGGCUUUUGUAGGAUCCCAUGAGAAGAAUGUCGUGAAAAAUGAUGGUUCGUUUCCCUCAGUAACCUUGUAGAGUGGCACAUUUGGAGCCAAACCCUCAAGAGAUGCAGCCAUUUCUAUGUAUUUCUGGGCAAUGUCAAAAGCGAUCUGCUUUUCUUUGGGAUCUACAGAUUGACCAACCCAAA
rnacentral:misc_RNA from 1 species